AUGCUACGCUUCCAGGAAAAGCCUCUAAGCUCCAGGUAACAUCAAAUCGUACCCCAAACCGACACAGGUGGUCAGGUAGAGAAUACUCAGGCGCUUGAGAGAACUCGGGUGAAGGAACUAGGCAAAAUGGUGCCGUAACUUCGGGAGAAGGCACGCUGAUGGUAGGUGAAGUGACUUGCUCAUGGAGCUGAAAUCAGUCGAAGAUACCAGCUGGCUGCAACUGUUUAAUAAAAACACAGCACUGUGCAAACACGAAAGUGGACGUAUACGGUGUGACGCCUGCCCGGUGCCGGAAGGUUAAUUGAUGGGGUCAGCCGCAAGGCGAAGCUCUUGAUCGAAGCCCCGGUAAACGGCGGCCGUAACUAUAACGGUCCUAAGGUAGCGAAAUUCCUUGUCGGGUAAGUUCCGACCUGCACGAAUGGCGUAAUGAUGGCCAGGCUGUCUCCACCCGAGACUCAGUGAAAUUGAACUCGCUGUGAAGAUGCAGUGUACCCGCGGCAAGACGGAAAGACCCCGUGAACCUUUACUAUAGCUUGACACUGAACCUUGAGCCUUGAUGUGUAGGAUAGGUGGGAGGCUUUGAAGCGUGGACGCCAGUCUGCGUGGAGCCAACCUUGAAAUACCACCCUUUAAUGUUUGAUGUUCUAACGUGGACCCGUAAUCCGGGUUGCGGACAGUGUCUGGUGGGUAGUUUGACUGGGGCGGUCUCCUCCCAAAGCGUAACGGAGGAGCACGAAGGUUAGCUAAUCCUGGUCGGACAUCAGGAGGUUAGUGCAAAGGCAUAAGCUAGCUUGACUGCGAGAGUGACAGCUCGAGCAGGUGCGAAAGCAGGUCUUAGUGAUCCGGUGGUUCUGAAUGGAAGGGCCAUCGCUCAACGGAUAAAAGGUACUCCGGGGAUAACAGGCUGAUACCGCCCAAGAGUUCAUAUCGACGGCGGUGUUUGGCACCUCGAUGUCGGCUCAUCACAUCCUGGGGCUGAAGUAGGUCCCAAGGGUAUGGCUGUUCGCCAUUUAAAGUGGUACGCGAGCUGGGUUUAGAACGUCGUGAGACAGUUCGGUCCCUAUCUGCCGUGGGCGUUGGAAGAUUGAGAGGGGUUGCUCCUAGUACGAGAGGACCGGAGUGAACGCACCACUGGUGUACGGGUUGUGAUGCCAAUUGCAUUGCCCGGUAGCUAAGUGCGGAAGAGAUAACCGCUGAAAGCAUCUAAGCGGGAAACUUGCCUCGAGAUGAGUCUUCCCUGGACACUAGAUGUCCCUGAAGGGCCGUUGAAGACGACGACGUAGAUAGGCUGGGUGUGUAAGCGUAGCGAUACGUUGAGCUAACCAGUACUAAUGACCCGAGAGGCUUAACCUUACAACACCGAAGGUGUUU
rnacentral:rRNA from 2 species